rnacentral:misc_RNA from 1 species
GGUUGGAUCAUUAACAAUUAUUAUUGAGCUCUUUUCAUCCCUGAAAGGGGAUGGUAAGGUUCUCUAACACUUGUGUGCACUGUUUAUUGUCUCUCGGCGUUCGAGGGUUGGGUUUUUUUGAUGGAGCUCUUUUGCUCUUGAUUGGGGGCCCUUGGGUUACGGCCUUGACAUACCCCUGAGCGCCAACUUAAAAAACUUGAAUUUUAUACUAUAAGCCUUUAAUUUUAAAUUUAUAAUUUGAAAACAACUUUUAACAACGGAUCUCUAGGCUCUCACAACGAUGAAGAACGCAGCGAAAUGCGAUAAGUAAUGUGAAUUGCAGAAUUCCGUGAAUCAUUAAAUCUUUGAACGCACAUUGCGCUCUCUGGUAUUCCUCAGAGCAUGUCUGUUUGAGAAUCAGUUUAAUUUAUCACCCUGCUUGUUUGAUCUAACCAUCGACUGGCAGAGUGGAUUUGGGAUGCAAGGGUGAUUAAAAAGUCCCCUUCAACCUUUGAAACAUUAGUUGCUCUUUUUGACCUUUGAUCAGAAAGGUACUAGCCGAAGGCAUGACCAAUGAACGCAAGUUCUUUUAGUGCUGACAACGCUUGUCUUUUCAGUUGAAAGAGGUCGUCUCGCAAGAGAGAAAGGGUGCUUUAUAAAACCCAAUCCGAGGUGGACAGUUGCUCGUCCAUUUUAAGACUUGAUCUCAAAUCAGAUAAGACUACCCGCUGAACUUAAGCAUAUCAAUAAGCGGAGGAAAAGAAACUAACAAGGAUUCCCCUAGUAACGGCGAGUGAAGCGGGAAUAGCUCAAAUUUAAAAUCUGACUGGUCUCCAGUCCGAAUUGUAGUUUAAAGAAAUGUUUUCGGGGCCAAACCAGGAUUAAGUUCCUUGGGAUGGGGCAUCAUAGAAGGUGAGAAUCCUGUAUGGUUCUGGCUUUGGUCCUAUGUGAUACAUUUUCAAAGAGUCGGGUUGUUUGGGAAUGCAGCCCAAAAUGGGUGGUAAAUACCAUCUAAAGCUAAAUAUUGGUGAGAGACCGAUAGCGAACAAGUACCGUGAGGGAAAGAUGAAAAGAACUUUGAAAAGAGAGUUAAAAGUACGUGAAAUUGUUAAAAGGGAAACACUUGAAACCAGUCUUGAGGUUGGAAUCCCAACUGGCCUAACGGUCAGCAUAUGUUUUCAACUUCAGGUCAACAUCAGUUUCGGCUGAAGGAAAAAGCUUGAGGAAGGUAGCCCCUCGGGGUGUUAUAGCCUCAAGUAAUACUUUGGCUGGGACUGAGGAACGCAGUGCAGUCUUGGGUACCUCUUCGCUAGUUGAAUAACGCUGCAGACAGCAUGCUGAUUGUAGUGGGGCUAAGACUAAUCGGAGGGCUUGCCACACCUGUGCUUAGGAUGUUGACAUAAUGGUUUUAAAUGACCCGUCUUGAAACACGGACCCAAGGAGUCUAACACAUAUGCGAGUUUUUGGGUGGUAAACCCGGGAAGCGCAAUGAAAGUAGUAAGGUAGGAACCGCAAGGUGCACUAUCGACCGGUCUGGAUAUUUUUUGAUAGAUCUGAGUAAGAGCAUAUUUGUUAGGACCCGAAAGAUGGUGAACUAUGCCUGAAUAGGGUGAAGCCAGGGGAAACCCUGGUGGAGGCUCGUAGCGAUUCUGACGUGCAAAUCGAUCGUCAAAUUUGGGUAUAGGGGCGAAAGACUAAUCGAACCAUCUAGUAGCUGGUUCCCUC